UNGACUCAGGUUAUGGGUGUUCACAAAGGG
rnacentral:piRNA from 1 species